rnacentral:lncRNA from 1 species
CUUUAAUACAAUUAUGACACUCCCUUUUGAACUUGUGAUAUAUACCUGCCGCUAACACACACACACACACACACACACACACACACACACACACACACACCUUGAGAGGCUGUUGCCAAUUGUUCUUUAGGCAUCACACACAGCCCCGGCACACAGCAGGGGCUUAAUAGAUAUUCCUUACAUCGAAGUUGAAAGUCUUGUCUCAACAUUCUGCUCUCACACACUCGCCUACAAACUCAUCAAAUAAUAGAGCAUCGAUUCUCAUUCUCUCCCUCUCCCUUCCUUUUAAAUCUCCUGGGGCUUAGAAUCCAUAAUUUGUGGAAUUCCCGCAUUCCCACAGGUGUCCUGGGAGGUGGGCAGGGCCAACACUUCAGCAGCUUCUGCAACGCAGCAGACUCCUGGGCCUGAUGUGCUAGCUGCCCAUUUGCUAUGGGCCUUCGCUCCCCAGAAGCACCUCUCUGGGUAUGGGGCAAACACCCCUCAUUGCUGCAAUGCAGCCUCUGCUGGAGUGAAACAGGAUGCUUGAUUUCUAUUGCGUCAGUAGCAACACUGCCCAGAGGUCUAAGAGAGGAAGUCAGAGCAAAGCCCAUCAAAGCCCACCCAGAACAGCAGGGAAAUUCCAAGUCAUCGGUUUCUAGUUCUCCCCAUGCGUGUGGUGGCCCUGCUUUGUGGUGAGCCUCCAGGACUGUCCUGCUGUGCCUCUGAAGCACCUGCUCACAGAAGGGUGACCCAUUGAGGCAUGCAGUGGGUUGAUACAAAUGUCAACUCCAGCCCCUGUCAUCAGCUAAAGGUCAGCAAAUGAGUUCUCUGGCAUUUGGGGUCUGCAGGAGCAAGUGAGUACUGUGAACACCUGCAGUGUGGAGACCACGUCCAUCUAAUUGGCGUCUAUGGGGCCCAGUGCCAGGCUGGGCCCAAGUGUCGAUUCAGGAAGGGUGUCUCAGGAUGCAGAAGCCGCCUGAUGCGUGCAGAGGUGGAUAGGCCUUCAGCCUGCUCUCCUCCUCUGUCCUGCAGACCGGAGUGAAGCUCCUGAUGCUGCCUUAAUGAAGAUUUAUAACAUCCAUCCAUCCAUCCAUCCAUCCAUCCAUCCAUCCAUCCAUCUAUCCAUCCAUCCAUCCAUCCAUCCAUCCAUCCAUCCAUCCAUCUAUGCAUCCAUCCAUCCAUCCAUCCAUCCAUCCAUCCAUCCAUCCAUCUAACAAAAACACAUAUCAAGUGUUCCUAAAUGUAAGACACUCCCCUUAGUGCUGGAAGGGAGGAAGAGAUAAAGACAUCAUCUCCUUUCUAGAGAAGUUUUUAAUCCACGUAAGG